rnacentral:rRNA from 1 species
UACAGAGGUCUCAAGCGUUGUUCGUAUUCAUUGGGCGUAAAGGGUGCGUAGGCGGCGCGGUAAGUCGGGUGUGAAAUCUCGGGGCUUAACUCCGAAACUGCAUUCGAUACUGCCGUGCUUGAGGACUGGAGAGGAGACUGGAAUUUACGGUGUAGCGGUGAAAUGCGUAGAUAUCGUAAGGAAGACCAGUGGCGAAGGCGGGUCUCUGGACAGUUCCUGACGCUGAGGCACGAAGGCCAGGGGAGCAAACGGG